UGCGGGGUGGAGCAGCUUGGUUAGCUCGUCGGGCUCAUAACCCGGAGGUCGCAGGUUCGAAUCCUGCCCCCGCUACCA
rnacentral:tRNA from 1 species